AAUGAACGCUGGCGGCAGGCCUAACACAUGCAAGUCGAACGGAUCCUUCGGGAUUAGUGGCGGACGGGUGAGUAACGCGUGGGAACAUACCCUUUGGUACGGAAUAGCCUCGGGAAACCGGGAGUAAUACCGUAUGUGGUCGAGAGACGAAAGAUUUAUCGCCAAAGGAUUGGCCCGCGUUGGAUUAGGUAGUUGGUGGGGUAAUGGCCUACCAAGCCGACGAUCCAUAGCUGGUUUGAGAGGAUGAUCAGCCACACUGGGACUGAGACACGGCCCAGAUUCCUACGGGAGGCAGCAGUGGGGAAUCUUAGACAAUGGGGGAAACCCUGAUCUAGCCAUGUCGCGUGAUCGAUGAAGGCCUUAGGGUUGUAAAGAUCUUUCAGGUGGGAAGAUAAUGACUGUACCACCAGAAGAAGCCCCGGCUAACUCCGUGCCAGCCGCCGCAGUAA
rnacentral:rRNA from 1 species